rnacentral:lncRNA from 10 species
GUAUAUUAUUAAUAAAAAUCCAACCGUAUUUCAAGUGAAAUAUCAAUGACACGUCAACUAUGAGACGCAUGAAAAGCACCAAGUUCAUCAGUUUCACAUUCACAGUAUUAUUAUUAUUUUAUUUUUAAUGGAGUCUUGCUCUGUUCCCCAGGCUGGAGUGCAACGGCACGAUCUCGGCUCCCCGCAGCCUCCGCCUGCCGGCUUCAAGUGAUUCCCC